rnacentral:lncRNA from 1 species
CCAGAUUUUCUGUCUGGGCAUAUACUUCAUAGUGCUAAACAUAAAAAAAAAAUCACUUUUUUAGCUUUAAACCCUGUUUUCUUAGGAUUUGAUUCUGGGGGUAAGGCCAAGGUCCCUGACGUGACCAAUGAGGAGGGCUGUGUAGGGAGUCCCACUCCAGUGGUGGACCAACCCUCACAUCAGCUAGAGAGGAUCUUCAGCUGCUCCCUACUGUCUGGGCCCUCCAGCUCAGCCAAGGCAGCAUUGGGAGCCCCUGCCCAAAAGGUGGAGGAAGUGAGAAUUGCUUCUCCAUAUAUCCGAGAGGCCAGGCAGGACUUGCUGGAGAAAGCUCCCUCCAUCCUGCAGGAAGAGAGCCUGGCUAAGGAGGACAUUCAGCUACGCUUGGCCCACGGGGUGACUUUCAUCAACUCAGAGACCCUCAGAGACAUUGUGCAGGGGAUCAUGGGUCACCUGACAUUCAUGGAAUCACUCCCAGCUGGGAGUGUGAAGGCUCCUUUCCAGCUCCAGUCGAUGCUCUUCGACAACAUACGGCAUGUUCUGAAGUAUAUGGCCGGCAUUGUCGUUGUAUUCAGCCAACAGGAGAGCAUUCAGUUUAGGGGUGAUGAUGCAGUGGCCGCCAUUGUGGAGGCUUCUGCUGAUAGACUAUCACUAGAGGCAGAGGCAAACAGUGCCCAAAUGCACAAAAGUUGUGAGAUUGCCAUUCAAUGCAUGGCUGAGACCAUCGCAUGCAGCAUUUGUGAUCACGCUGAGCUCUGGAAGUGGGAGGCCAGGAGCUCUGGAAGUGGGAGGUAUACCCCCAGCCUCGAGGGAAGUGACAGCACUGUCUCUGAGGAGCUCCUAGACAAUAGGGAAGACCUGGAGGCUCCAGCAGAGAUGGCUGAAGAUGACACUGGCUCAGAGAAGACCAGUGUCAGAUCAGAGAUCUUUGAAGACGAUGCUUGCUCAGAGAAAACCAGUGUCAGAUCAGAGGUCUUUAAAGACUACUGUGGUUUGGAGACAGACCAUCACAUGGCCGACCAGUCACUGGAGACCAACCAGUGUCUACUCAGGGCUGGACAGAGUGCCUUCUCACAGAAGGUGAAAGAAGAGGCUAUGGAGACAGGACCCGAGACAACAGGAAAGGGGAAAAAUGAAAAGAAGAAAUCCUCUAAGAACAAAGGAGAAAUAGAGGGAAAGAAACCAUGUAAGAGCAAAGUGGCUCCCCUUGGCUCUGAUGGUGCAGUGGCUGCAGAUGAGAAAAGGAAGAAACCAUCUCUCCUCCAGCACAUCUGCAAUGCCUUUGCAAGGGUCUUUUGCUUCUCCCACAAGAAAAAUAGUAGAUUAUUUCCCUCUAAUGGAGUGAGAGCUGUGCCUGCACGACUUUUUAAGGCAGCACCUCAACUCCUGUUACCAGUCCCUCUGCUUACAGUCCUACAAUAAAACAUAUGUUUGCAAUCAUCUUGUGUUGUUUUUAGCUCCUUAUCAACUGUUAAUUUAAGUGUAGUUCAACUCUUUUACUAUUCCUGUGGUAAUGAAACAACACAUUUCAACACUGUAAAACAACACAUUUCACAGCAUCUUUACAGUUUGUGAUAAUAACAUAUAUAUAACAUAUAUUAUUUUUGUUAUCCUUGUUGAUGUAAUUUGAGUAGAAAUCAAUAGUUGUGUUGUGCUGCUGUGAGCCUGUGAAGGCAAACUGUGAAUGACAGGUAGGCAGAGUGGAUGUUGGUGUUACAUCAGGGAAAGAAACAUUGGCUCAGCUGACACAUGGAACACAGCCUCAGCCUCCAGGCCCUGUUGCCUUGCCAACCCCAUCCAGUACUGAUACAGAGGGGGUUAUGUAUAAAACCUGGCUGCGCCAACGGAAAUAUAGGUUAGAGGAGAGUGGGGUAAAUUGAGCCAAAGGGUUAGUUGAGCCACCCCUAGAUGAGCUGUGGGGGCUAAUAUAGUAUAAAUGUUUGUCUUGGGGUAAGCUGAGCCAAUGGCCACCAUAUCCCGUACAAAUGAUUACAUUUUGUCAGUUUUAUUUAUAAUAUGCAAAGUAUUUUUGCAAUGCAUCACGCAUAUGAACUCAAGAUUUAUAUUGUUUCAGAGCAGACAUCAUUCCCUG